rnacentral:rRNA from 1 species
UACUGCUAUCGGGGUCCGACUAAGCCAUGCGAGUUGAGAGGGGUAAGCCCUCGGCAUAUUGCUCAGUAACACGCGGAUAACCUGCCCUUGGGUUUGGGAUAACCCCGGGAAACUGGGACUAAUACCGGAUAGAUCAAAGAUACUGGAAUGUUCUUUGUUCGAAAGCUCCGGCGCCCAAGGAUGGGUCUGCGGCCUAUCAGGUAGUAGUGGGUGUAACGUACCUACUAGCCUACGACGGGUAAGGGUUGUGAGAGCAAGAGCCCUGAGAUGGAUUCUGAGACAUGAAUCCAGGCCCUACGGGGUGCAGCAGGCGCGAAAACUUUACACUGCGGGAAACCGCGAUAAGGGGACCCCGAGUGCCAGCACCUAGUGCUGGCUGUCCAGCUGUUCAAAAAACAGUUGUUAGCAAGGGCCGGGCAAGACCGGUGCCAGCCGCCGCGGUAACACCGGCGGCCCGAGUGGUAGCCGUUAUUAUUGGGUUUAAAGGGUCCGUAGCCGGCCCAUUAAGUCUCUUGGGAAAUCUGGCGACUCAAUCGUCAGGCGUUCAAGAGAUACUGGUAGGCUUGGGACCGGGAGAGGUGGGAGGUACUCCAGGGGUAGGGGUGAAAUCUCGUAAUCCUUGGGGGACCACCGAUGGCGAAGGCAUCCCACCAGAAUGGGUCCGACGGUGAGGGACGAAAGCUGGGGGCACGAACCGGAUUAGAUACCCGGGUAGUCCCAGCUGUAAACGAUGCUCGCUAGGUGUCAGGUGCGGUGCGACCGCAUCUGGUGCCGUAGUGAAAACUUGAAGCGAGUCACCUGGGAAGUACGGUCGCAAGGCUGAAACUUAAAGGAAUUGGCGGGGGAGCACUACAACGGGUGGAGCCUGCGGUUCAAUUGGAUUCAACGCCGGA